ACGAGAGAAAGUCAGCGCUGCAGACUGCCGAGUGCCACCUUCCACUCCACCGCCAAGCCGGGAAGCUCGAGUAGGUCAGGCACCCUUCGCCAGCUGGAGCCUCCCAGUCGGUGCCGGAGCCCGGGCGGGGAGGUCCGUGGAGCUCGGAACGAGGCAGGCUGGGCAUCGGCCCCGCCGCGGGCUUGCUCGGGCGCCUGCCGCCCCGGCCGAGAGCUAGGCCCGUCUGGUCCUGCGCUCACCCGCGGGCCGCUCUCGCCGCGCACCGGGCAUGGAAACCGUGACGACAGCCCUGCGGCAAGGCGCGAGCGGCCUUCUCCUCCACGGGGGUUAAGGUCCUUCGAUCCAGGGUCCACAUACCGUGCUUAAACCCGUACACGCUAACAGGGAACGAGUCAUUAGAAUGCACAUCCUAAUGCUCGUACAAAUUCAAGAACGACACAUAAUACAAAACCACAAUGAAACAACAUUUGGUAUCUAUGAGAAACAACACUAAGAGCUUCAAGAAAGAACACCCUGGAGUCAAACUGUAAUGCCCUAGACGGAAGACUUCUGUUGGUAUUGGCAGCAAUAGUGGUGCCUUUGGUAGGUGAUACCAUCAAGCAGUGAUGAGUGUAACAUGGGGGGAUCAGCAGCCAGAGUAGAUGAGGAAGAAGAGAAAUGUCUUCAAUGCGACUUUGUGAGACACACAGGAGACUCUGGGCAAAGGACUUUACCUCUCUGACCCUUAAUUUCUGAUUUCACAAAUGGACAUAAUGAUAGUAUCUAUAUUAUAGGUUGUGAUGGUUAAGUGAGACAAUGUGUACAAAGUAGCUAGUAUAAAGUAUAUAUUAAACAUUAUAAGAUGAUAGGAGCCAUUAAAAAAAUCCAGCAGAAAAAGGGCAUGCUGGAGGUAGUAGGAAUUUUAAAUAUACUGGUAAGGGUAAAUCUCAUUGAGAAAGAUGUGUAUAAUGUACCUAGCCAGAGUGGGUGGCUCAGUGGGUUAAAGCCUCUGCCUUGGGCUUGGGUCAUGGUCCCAGGGUCC